rnacentral:sRNA from 1 species
UCAGUACGAGAGGAACCGCAGUUUCGG